CCUGCAAAAACCUUGAAAAGAUGAUUAUUGCAUGAAAACCAAUAGGCUUUCUAGGAUGGCCCAGCAACUUGACUGGCAUUUGCAUAAGGUCACAACAAAAGUUCCGUGACUAGCAAUCAUAUUUAAAAAUUAAGUACAUACAAGAUAACAAUGAUGUUUCUUCAGCCCUACGUACCCAAAGUUUAUGAUGAGUUUCCCCUCAUCUAACUAGAAACUCUCCUCCAGCUUUUCUCAUGAUCAUAUUAAAUGGGUCUCUGCAACCAAGAAUUGUGUCACCUCUUGCUUUUUUUUCUUCAAAUUGAUCAUAAUCUCCUUGCUCAUCAAUUUCACAUGCAGAGAAAUCCAUAUAUUUACAAUCUGCACUCAACUCCCCAUCAAUUUCAAAUUGACUAUUUAAAGAGCACUUCCUUGGCUUAUACUUAGUAGGUUGAUUGUUUCUAAUAAUACCAUAAUGUUUUGUGCACAAAGCUCCUCAUCUCAGCUAAACUUAUGAACACAUGUUUCUAAAUUUACCAACACCUUUCUCCACUAUCCCUACCUAGUUGAUUGUCAUGUUCUAGAACCUUUUCUUUACUACAAUAAUUGUUCCUUGAAAUAUAAAAAUCACCCAACUCUAAUUUCACAGACAACAUUAGUUCUAAUUUCACAGACAACAUUAGUACCAGCCGCUUCCUACCCAGUGAUUAACAAGCUGAGACCAUAAAAUGUCACUCUGAACCAUAUACCACCUUAAUUUUGGUUAUGGCUUAGUCGCCCUCAGUAUACAAUUUAACAGUUGUGAAUAAAAUUUUCAAAAGGACAGUCUAGGGCACAGAAGGGGAAAAGCAGCUGAUGUGGUCCAUACUAAAUAAACAUCUGCAGAUUGAAUCAUCCAUGGGGAAUUAGCUAGUUCAUGUGUGGAAUCCAAAUUAAUGACACAGAAAAAACACUUAUUUCCCUGUUUCACACAAUGCGACAAAUUAGAACUUCACCUGUAAGGAUGUAGAAACCUCUUUGUUAAAGGGUCAAGAUGUAGCUACCUCCCCAACCAGUGACAAGCUCAUUUUUCCAGGCAGUAUCAUGAGAUGUAAUCUGUGGUUAGCCAUUGUCCUAGCAUUGUAGCUAGUAAUGGCAAACCAUAUUAUUCUCGGAUCAAGUGCAAGCCAUGUAAUGUUGACUAUAAUAAUAUCAUUCUCCAGUGGUUUUGGGACGGAUAGGAAGUCCAGAGGCACAAAAUUUCUAUAUAACUACAUACUCCCUAAGCCCCCUAAUAAAGAAAAUGCCUCAACCCCUACUGCAAAUAACAUACCUCUCAUCCUCAAGGGUCACACGUUUCACCUUGCUGUGUGAAACAUGGUAUAGUUACCCAACUAGUUUGACAAAAAACCAAACCAACUUAAGCGGUAUUACACUUUAGAUUAAUGACAUGAUAAUGGUUAUUUUGUUUCUAGGAAAGGAAAAAAGGAAAGGGCCACAAAUGGAUUUUCUAUUUAGAGGGCAGUUUGGCAGAUAUUAUGAAGUUGUGUCCUAAAAUACAUGGAUAAGAAUCAGGGAAUUGCAAUAACUAGCAAAAGAGGAAUUGUGUAGGAUUCAGACCCAUGAAAGCACAACAAAAAGCACACCGGAACUCUUCUACCGAAAUCAGAAAAUCACUAAAAUGGCUUUCACAUCAACCGAUAUUCUAACUGGAAACUUUAAAUAAAGGGGUGAUUAAUCAAUUAAUUAAUAAAUGCUCUUGAUAAAUGCAACUGCUUUCCACAAAAGAAGAAACUAUCACGAGAGGAAUGCAGUGAAGAAAGAGGGAUCCAAAAUAGAAAACAAGACUGAGCCAUAACUGAAAAGGGUUGGUUGCAACAAACAAAGUAAGACUUCAUAAAAAGGAUGAUACCGGGACUCAAAUAUCGGAGAGAGAAAAAGUAUUGAACUGCCAAAACCACCCUCUGAUAUUCCAGGAUUUCCGUAUCAUGAAUUGGUGAUUCAGAGGGACAUUUGGUUGAAAACAGAGGGGCAUUUUCGUCUUCUCCGGAUCCCUUUCUCACUCUCUCUCUCUGCCAUUCCAGACUCUCUGGGACUCGCAGUCAUCGAGAGAGAAAACAGAGAAUCUUUGGCUUCACGCCAGACCAAAAGAUGAGAAAACAAAAACAGAACCCCCAAGAGUCCCCACCAGAUCUAAACGUACGCCGGUGAGAUAGAACUAAACUCUAAAAGAAAAAAAAUAAAAAUCUAUCAGAUCAGCAAUCAGCAAGAACAGAAAAACAUAAACACAAGAAAACACUGCCGAAGAGAAAAAGUGGGACACUAAAGUGAGCCACCGUACCCGUGCAACCUAGCGCCAGCGAGGAGCACGAUGCACCGGAUCUAGCCCAUCCCUAACCCCGCCCAAUCGCCACCGGCCACGGGAGCCGUAAGCCCUAGAUAACGUGCGCCGGGAACAGGCGGGGAGCGAGUUUCUCCUCCGUGAUCAGAAUUAUCCGCGCGAUGCUAAAGUGCACUUUCAACAGCGCAAGUUAGUGCGGACGAGGCUAGACUCCUCCCGAGAUCAGAAUUCUCGGCGCUGAUACUAACGUGUGCCGAGGACGGCUUCAAUUAAAGGGAACAACGACGCCGCCGGCGGCCGGUCCCCGUCCCCUCAAUCGAAAUUCCCUGUGCGGAUGCUAGCGUGCGCACCUAAGCGCCGGGGAUCCGCCUCGGUCGAACUAGAAUCUAAAAUGCGCACGUAGGGGACACAAUAGCAGUACCACACACCGCAAGCAGAGACGAGAAAGAAAAAGAGGUUAUACGGAGUAUU
rnacentral:lncRNA from 1 species